UGAAAUUCUUUUAUGGAGCCAAAAUAUUUUUUGGGGGCCAGAAUAAAGUAAUACCGUAGUUUGUUGUGAGUUCAUGCACUGUGUUGGUUUUGUUCUUUAAGCAAGGUGACGUUCAUGCACGGCUCAUUUUGUGCACCAGUAUAAAAACAUAUACCUAUGGGUGGUGGUGGCGUGGGGGAUAGGCAA